rnacentral:tRNA from 1 species
UAAUAAUUAGUUUAAAGGAACAUCGCAAUUUGACUGCGAAAGAAUCAGUGUAAUUCUGAUAUUAUUAA